rnacentral:rRNA from 1 species
UACGUAGGGGGCAAGCGUUGUCCGGAAUCAUUGGGCGUAAAGGGCUCGUAGGCGGUUUGUCGCGUCGGGAGUGAAAUCCACUGGCUUAACUGGUGGCUUGCUUUCGAUACGGGCAGACUGGAGGUAUGCAGGGGAGAACGGAAUUCCUGGUGUAGCGGUGAAAUGCGCAGAUAUCAGGAGGAACACCGGUGGCGAAGGCGGUUCUCUGGGCAUGUCCUGACGCUGAGGAGCGAAAGUGUGGGGAGCGAACAGG